UGGAGACGACAGCAACCUGAAGACAUGGUUGGAUCAGGUGACAAGGAUCCCUGUGCAGGAGUCAGGAAGAUAAAGAGCUGUGCUCCAGUCAGUGGGAAGGAUAAAAGGAUUCUAAAUCCACAGCAUUUCCAUGGCCGCAUUUUAAUAUGGCUACCACCGGGUAUCCAGAAGCCUCAUAUUUGUGAAGGACACACUCCUGACUUCCUCUCAUAACAUCAUUGGAAGGUGAAUCUUGGGACAUUUGCUUUUGGAAACCAGACACCGUGCCACGAAGAAGCACAACGACCAUAUGGAGAGACCAUGUGUGGGCGCUCUGGCCAAUAGCCCCAGCUGAGAUCCCAGAUGACAGCCAGCUUCCACCUGCAGACGCACGAGCGAGUGCACCUUCAGAGGAUUCGAGCCCCAUCUGCUGAGUCUUCCCCAUGCUAGCCUUCCCAGCUGAGGCCCCGCACACUGCAGCACAGCCAAGCCGCCUCUGCCAUGGCUGUUCUAAACCCCGGCCCUACAUAUUCUGGUUUAUAAUAAAA
rnacentral:sRNA from 1 species